rnacentral:misc_RNA from 1 species
CGAAGUAUAAGGGAUCAAAAAUGAGAGCCAGACUUGGUACCAGUUGCCAAGUUCUCGACUGAUGGCCUUGGUUGAGAUUCUCAAAGCUACAAGUUGGAAGGAUGGACUGGGGGAGACAAGAGGUCUCUGGCAGGGCGGUUGAGGACUAGACCAGGCCCCUUUGGACAGGAGCAAGGCCUCAGAGGUAGGCGGACGGUGCUGUCAGAGGCUGAGGUCUCGAUGUGAAGUCAGAGUUGAGAGCUGGCAGGCUUGGGUCUGUACCGGUGAGCAUACUAGGAGCUGCAAAGACCAAGUAUGAGUGCUGGUGAGCCCAAGUCUGCCUGCUCUAGUGUGUGUCCUUCCAAGAGCGACAGGCUUAUAGGGGCUGUUCUGACAUACUGUCAUCUACGGCCAUAGGAUCCAGA